ensembl:lncRNA
CUCCGAACAUUUUCAUGAGAAGAGCAGAGCUCCCACUAAUAAACAAGCUGAGUAUUUCUAACUGUGUGAAGCGAUGCUCUCACAGCAUUUGCCCACACACCAGAAACUCAACCAAGGACUGAUUUCCUUUAGCUACAGCUGCACAGCCACCACACCCAGCCAUUGAGGGAAAAGGUAGUUAUUGUUAAUGAAACAACACUGGCUACUGGUAAGGGUGCUAGAGGAGAACAGAGUGGAAGAGGAUGAGAGUUCUUAAGCAGCUGUAGAACAUCAAACCCACAAAGCUGGGAGCCUUGGGGACAGGAGACCUUUUUCUUCUUCCUUUCCUACAGACACAUGACUAACUCCCUGUUUGGACCAUUAGAAGGCUAACUUUUCUCACAUGUACCUUUCACUCAGUAGGUGGGUAUUUGCAUUAUUAUGCUGCUUUCUCAUGAAUUUGUUUUAUUGCUCAUUUUCACAAGCUGCUAAGCCCACAGGCCACUUCAGUAGUCAAUAUUGCUGCACAGCAAACACCUGCUUGGAAACGACCUGGAAAUGUGUAAUUGAGACAGUAAAAGGAGCAAGACUACUACACAGCCUUGCAUUUCAACAAGCACAAAAGUAAUAUAUAGUCUCAACAACAAGAACAGAGCCCUUCAAACCCACAAAAGCCAUUUAAUGCUCACAUACAUGUCGACAAUAUUAUGUCAGAGCUGUGAGUAACCCCACAAAGGAAGCUGUAGGUAGAUCAGAAGUGCAGGUUGGUCUGAAAAAUACAUAUCCUUUUCGCCAGAAUUAAUUACAUUCUCAGACGAGCCUCCGUGAUUCAAGCUGCUACCUCAACGCUGACAGUAAAUACAUAGGAACAAUGGCAAACAACCUUCCUCCUGGCCAUAUCGCCCACAGAAGGCCUUUAACUGAAGCAGAAGACCAAAAUUACCCUGUGAUUUCACAGACACGUUCUAACUCUUAAGUCUGGUAAGACAUAGAACUUGUUGCACAGUAAUUCUGUGGUGCCAUAAUGUUGUUUUCUAUGAGACAAAAUGAAAGCCCUGCUUUUUGUUGCUGUGUUCGAAAGGAGGCAGGCAUUUUAUUUUAGAUAAAAAGUCAUUCUGAACUCCUGACAAAAUGGAAGGUUUGGGGUCGGUUCUGUAAAGAGUUUUUGUCAGCUGGGAGAGGGCUUCUAUGUGAAAGAUUAGUAAUAACCAAAGCCAUCUUCUACAAGCAGAAGUAAUGCUUGUUGAAUUUACCAUCACCUGCAAGACUGGUUAUGUUAAUAGUCUUUCAUAUUAUGCCAAGUAGACUGAAAAUAAUUAAUAGUUCACAAACAACCCUCCCACUGAAGUUUCAGUGCCAGUGUUGUUUUCAGUGAUUAGAAUACAUUAAAAAUUCAAUCCCAAAUACUCAGGAUUUAAAUACAACUUCCUUAUAUCUGAGAAACUUCCACAAAAAAAUAAUAAUUAACCUCUCUCACAGCACUAACCUGGCAAGGGUAAUGGAGCUCCUGGAUGACAGCGUCACUGGGGAAUUUCAGUCUCAACAUUUCUUAAUUAAAGUCCAUUCUAUUUACAAACUGGAGAAGUGAAUGCAGUGUGUGCACACAGAGGUUCCAGCACUGAGCUUUGCUGAGCCUUCACAGAUGCUCAGGAUUUACAAGGUGGGAACCGGGGUCGUGCGAUGCCUUCAGAAAUUAAAAAUAAAGCCUAAGAGCUCAGCUGAUGAUAUUUAGGGGUUAUUCAUUAGAUCCUGAAGGCCAUCCGUCUCCCUGGGCAAGCUCUUUCCUCCUCCUGUCUGAAUUAGCCGUGAAACAAUGGUCAAUUGGUAACGUCUCAAGCCAGCAAUAAGGAAUGUCUGCAAGGAUGCAGGACUGUGAGAGAGGAUGAAGAGGAAGAGAAGGAAAUUGCAAUAAAGCAAAAGAUGGAAGUGAGGAAGGUCAGAAGGUUGUUUAUGCAUUUACAACAUCUCUAAAAUAGAGUCACACCCUAGAGAGAUGCAGGUGGCAAACAGAUUUCAUUAGAAAAACCACAAUGGUUCAGAGCCAAGAUCCAUUUUUGCCAAGCAUCCUGUUUCCAGCACUGCUCACACCCAGGUGUUGCAGAGGAAGGCUCCCAGCCACCCUGCUCAACUGGGACCACCAUAGGACAGGCCUGAAAGAUUUAGCUAAAAUUCGCCACCAGAUUAAAGAAAUAUUACCCAAAGCAGAAAAUAAGGUCUUCUAUUUGAAGCCUGCCAGACAAGGUCAUGAAGUUCAGAAGCAGAUCUGGAAAUUUUUCUCUGAAAGUGGCACUGAGUACAGCACACAGUGUACCAACACAACUCCCCCGGUCCUAAAAACACCUAUCUUCCUCAACAGCAUGGAAAACAAACCUGGGCACUCACUGCUCUGUUUGCCCUGAAACUGGGCACCUGACGGACUAAAGGUACGGGAGCGAGCCGAGCAUGACGGCAGUGCUGUUACCACACACACCACGUGGGCUUCUGGAGCAAAGUGCCAGGAUUCGUGCAGGCCCCUCUGCACGGGGAAGGAAGCGCCGCGCGAGGGGGACAUGGCAGUCACGGAUGCUCUGAAGCAAGGAAUGAGUAAGAAGAUCAACUGCAUUCGUUUCUUGUCCCUCCAUUAACGUUGGAACUUGCUAGCUGCUGCUUGACGCUGCUCAAAAGGAAGUCAAGAUGUUUUUCUCCUCAAAAUGGUGGCAUUAACAGAGCACUUGCUUCACUGCAGCUGGGGCUUGGCAUCCUUGGACCGGCCACUGGAGCAGUGUGAGGUCAGCAGGGAGGUUGUGACACAGCUGGGAGACACAGCCCAGGGAGGCCAGUCUGCCACUGAGACUAAGCUGCCAACCACAAUCGCUCAAAGACGCACAUACACACUACGGGUGUUGACAAAAAUGACGUGCUUUACUUUAAAGUUUUCUGCAAAGUGGUGAUCAGGUCUAUUUCUCACCAUUUCUGGGAUCCCUUGAGGUCGCCAAUGCCAAGGAGGAAAGCCCUUACACCAGAACACCGGACACCUGAACAACAGCAGCCAGACCCCAGGGCUGCCAGACUCCUUCCAUGCUUGGGAAGUGCACACAUGUAGCUGUUCCUUCUCCAUUUCUUCUCCUCUCCAACAUCUCAGCUCUGGUACCCACCCACCCUUACUGCCAAAAGGCACUAAGCUCACAAGGAAACAUUCCACAUGGCCUUGACAUAAGAUAUCAGCUUGCUGAUCUUUGCAUUGCACAUGUGAAAACGUUUACAAGAACAUCACAUACAAACAUUCGGUGUAGAUUCUGACCCGAGGGCAACGUAUAGCCCGGAGCCUCUCAGCAGCUUUCUGAGCACUCUCGCAGGUCAAUGUCUGCAAGAAGUAAACAAGGCCACGUAUGUGCACACAGACAUGGCUCCGCUCUUAUCAGGCCCCUCCCGGCCCGCUCAUGCCUUCAGCAGGUCACUGCCUCCCGUAACCUCCAGCACACCACGCUUGCCAGUAAAACACAAUGGCCUGAAACUGAAAAUACCUGUGGUGCAGCAAGGACCCAGCCAGCAGUCUGUCCCUCCGAUACUCUGAGGGCAGCUCACGCCACGCGCCAACGAUCGCCUCAGUGCUCCGCGGAGCAGCUCAGUGGGAGGGGAACGACGCGGUGAUUAACUACAGCAGAAGAAAACACCUUGCUACAGAAGAUAACACUCAUGCUUUAAAAAGAGAGAGAGUGGUUACAGCUCAGGACAGAACACGCGGAAAGUACUGAAGGGAAAGGAAGAAAAAAUAAAAAAGCUGCAAUGUCGUUUGCCUGGUGAACUCCCACCAACACGGCGAGAUGUGAGCCUCGCCCGCUGCCGGCCCUGGGAGCUGCCCUGCCGGAACCCUCUCCCGCCGCUCCCCGGGAAGAUGAGCCUCCGCGGCCGCAUCCCCUCGGCGCUUCCGACUCCGAACGCGUCCCGAGGCGCAGCUCCCCGGGGACAGAUGCGAUGGGUGAAUUAACCCAGGCUGAAAUAGAGCUUCUCACGGCUUUUCCUCUCCUUAACAACUGCGUUCUUAAAGGAAAAAGACCAUAUCCUGCCGGUUUCUUUCAGUACUGAAGAUACAAGGAUCGCUUCUGGGUGUGGAAGUGGUGGUUCAGUAACCACAAGAGAAACACCCACCCAACAGCUAUGUAACUCCAGAGCAGCUGCAGUGAAACACAACAGCAGCUGAGGAGGAACAGCUCUGUUCCAGACUUUAUGAUGUACCCCGAAGCAGUCGGUCCCAGAGAUGUGCAGUCCCUUUGCAUUUAUAUCCACAUCAAAAUUCACGGACUUUGAGAGUGGCAGCUCAUCCUGACUGCCUUUUGGCAGCAUCGCUGCAGCCGUUUUUGUGGUAUCUGUAGGUUAAGCCAUGCUUUGUAAGGAAGCUGCUUCCUUCUGACGCUGGUAUGAAGCAAAACGAUUAACCUGCACCACGGGAGCUCGUGUGCCACAUCACAGCCAGAGAACGACCAGCGCUGAAGGUUCCCUAUGGCUCCAAUUCUCAGAGCAGCGUCCCCACGACAGUUCCUGAUUCCCACCCCCAGGACACGGCCAAGACUUCCCUGCUCGCCUCCAGCAGAUGCCCUCUCCGCAGGGCUGCUCCCCGAGCACAGAACCCGGCUGUGGCACCAAAGCCCACAGCAGCAGAAAUAAGCACCGACUGCUGGGCAGACGGAUCCAACUCACUCAGCUUUUUUUUACCGUUGCUGCAAAGAAAUCCUGGAGUAUCCCCUGGCCCAGCAGGGUGUCCCAGGCUGCAGGCAGCUGUCUGCCCUGCCCACCGCAGUUUCCUCUUGCCUCACCAUCACUUAUCAGUGCAUUUAGCAUUCUUCAGAUCCUGACAGCCCUAUGCCUCUCCCUCCCCACCUCCCUGCAUCCCUCGUGUUCCCACCGCUAUUAGCCGUGCCUUUAUUCUCUUGGCUCUUUUUUUUACUCUCAUCAGACACCUCGAGGAGAGCAGUUUUCCUGGAACACGGCUUACUGAAACAGGAGGUUUUGCUUCAUUAUCUGAGCAAGCAAAGGAGCCGGGAGCCCUUUACGUGCUUUCUGUUAAGAAGUGAGAACGUGGCGAUGUUCCUGCGAAGCCCACAAGAUAUUGCCUCGGUGGUGUUCCGCAUUUCGAACUUGUCCACGCUUGCCCAAUUGUAAUUGUGUAACGCCAUUAAACACACUGUUACCAUAUAGUCAUUGGCCAGAGGAAAAGGCAGCACUGUGCUCCUGAACCCAGCUGUGCAGGAGAUACUGUCAAUACAUAGCACCGACAUUAAAAGAAAAGAAAAACAAACAAACAAAAAAAUGCAAAUGGAUUUGGGAGGACUUCUACUAAUUUUCAGUCGGUUUCUGCCUGAGCUGUUACGCUGUAGAUGUUGCAAGCAGGUUAAGGGAGGAUCUACAAAUGCAUGAGUUUUAGCCAUUAAAAUCAAGAGCUAUGGACAUGUCCUGAUUUAUUUCCAUGCACACAAAGACCAAAGAGACGGUAAGCCUCCUGCAAACAUGUCAGUUCCACCAUCCUGAGCCAGACAAGGCCCUAACGCAGUACCUCAAAGACUGCAAAGCCAAGACCUAAAGCACUGGACUCCACAAGUCCUCCUGCAGCCAUACCAAACCUCAGUCCUCACAUGUGAAAAUUAUUCUUAAAUUGGGUUUUCAGUGAUUAUACGCAUUCAUGUCCUGGCAAGAUGCUGAUGGAAAUGGCACAAGUUCCAUGCAGUUCCACGUGCAAUGCUUUAUUCAGCUGAACAUUAAAGAGGUGUUUCUUCAUCUGGCUAUUUCUGACUUUAGCAGCACUGGAAAAGGAAUAUACAAUUGCACAGAACAGGGCAUGGGCAGCUGAGAAAGUGGGGAGGCAUCCUCUGUUACAGAUACAGGAUAAGGAGGAAUAACAAAUCAAAGAGAAAAAGGUGCUAACAGAGAGCCCUUGGGCACGGGCAACUUUGCCAGAAGCACUUCUGGUGCUGGCACUGCUGGAGGGUGGGAGCUCACUUGCUGCCGGUGUGCAAGGGAAGGGCUGGCUUAGGGAAGGCCUAGAAGCUGGCCUCAAUCCCCAGUAUCAGUCACUCCAGCUGCUCUCUCAGAGCAGAAUGUGGGGUGGGAGCCCCAAGGCUAGGGUAGCCCAGCUGCCCACUCAGGGACCUCGGGAGUCAGGCAGCACGGCUGACAGAUGCACGAGAGGUAUGUGAACUCUUUGUCUCCUGUGCAGGUUGUAAGUGCUGAGGCAAGUAACAUUUCAUAGCACUAGGUACUGCACAAGCAAGUCAUAAAUAACCAUCCCUGUACUAUGGACCUCGCAGGCUGAGAGGAAGCCUUGCACUCACAGCCCCAUCCAUUAACAAUGUUGACCUUGAAGUAGUCCUGACAGCAAGGCUGCAGAGGAGCCAAGCAGCAGAACAUUUGCAAGUAGUUGCACUCAAGCGGAAAGACAACCCUCCGGCACGUCCGACCCAGGAUCGCCUACUGCUGCACAACUGUGCCGUGCCGCGCAGCCAAGCGCGGUACCUCUGGGAGGGCAGCUCGCAUGGGGCCGGUGAGUGCAGCCGCUCACCCCUUCUCGACCCCACAGCUCAGCCAAGCAGCACCGUGAACUUGAAAACACUGCACUCUCACUACCAAAGAGCCAGCUGGGUUACUCACCUGUGAGCUUCCCCUGUGCGGCACCUGGCCGGGCUGCUUCAUCGUCAGCAGUUUCUUGAUGUAAAAUGGCAUUCAUCCUGACAGAUGCUAACAAGGUGUUUUCUUCCUCCUACAAAAGAGGGAGGACAGCUGUGGGGUUUACUUUAACAGUCACCGUCUGUAAAGUCACUGUAAAGCUUUCUGUCAUCUCCAAAAUAUUUUUCUACUUGUUCAUUAUAAGGUCUACCGACUGCUACAGAAUAGCAAGGGCUGUAAUAGCAGCACUACACAUUAAGGACAGCUUUAAUUACGUGCACAAUAUCUACGUAAAUCUCAGAUAGCAUCUUCUGCAUAAAAGGCAGGGUUGGUUUGUUUGCCUCUUAUCCUCACAGUCUGGAAUUUGAUUGCUUCUUAUGGUGUAACAUUCAUUUGGCUAGGCUCUAGUUAAUUACUUAGGGUGGUAAUUAAAUUAACCUUGCUUAAGGUUUUUGGUUGCUUGUUUUUGUUUUUGUUUUAAAGAGGGUUCUUCAGCAGUCCCAGCCUGUUGGGUUAAAUCCCCAAGCACUGGAAAGUAAGCUCACCUAACAGUGCUCCCAUGUAACCCAAGUCACUGAGAAGUGAGGUGGCUUAGCCAAGGUCUCGGCUAACUCUGUGGUUUGCUUUUAACUGUUCUGCUGUCAUAACUGUGCUAAGCAGUCAUUAGACUCAGCACAGGCAAACAGAUCAGGCCCUUGCUGAGUCAGUGGCACAGUCAGGAGAACUCCAACAUCCUGCCAUAGACAGCGAUGAUUAAGGCACAGUACAAAAGGAAAUGAAAGUCUUCAACUUUUCUACAGGAGCAACUUCCCCUGAUGUGGUCUGGCCAACCAGUUUUGACUGUGGCUUCACUGAAGAAAACAAAUGUUACCUCCAGAUGAAUACAGCAGUCAUGGAAUAAAACCAUUCGCAUGAUUAUGGCUAUUACACAUAAAAUACAAUGUGAUAGGUACACUGGGAAGAUAGAACCAGUCUCCCAGACCGCCAAGAUGAGGGCUACCAACAGCUUUGGCUCAGUUCCCCACUAUGCAUGCAGCAUGAGACAGUCUUCAUUUCUCAUUUCUCCUCCACAAAUUCAUCAGCAAAGCGUGAGUCCAAACUCUCCCUCAUCAUUUCAAGAAGAGGUUUCUUGCAGACACUCACUUCCAGCCAAACAACAAGGGAAACAUUCAGUGUGGGCCAGGAGAACACAUACCUGCCAGUGAGUUACACAAGCAUUUGCUGAGACAGCAAUGGAAUGUCAGCAAACAGGAUCUUUGGGUCUAACCCCAGCUUUGGAGGCAGUGAGAGGCCUAAGUUGUCACAAACAAGACACCCAACCACAUGAGCAUGCAGAUUUGUUUUCAGCAGAUGAUGAACAUCCCUGCUUUAAAAGCUGUGGUCUUAUUCUCUACUCUGCAUGCAGCCCGCUUGCUAGUAGAUUAUCUGCAAAGCAGGUGAAUGACCUUGGCCCCCCUACGGGAAGGAUAACUGCCUUUUAAGAGUACAGACGCCAGCAGAAGCAGUGGAGCAUGUGGGACUAGACAUCAUGGACUUCUGGGCAUUGGUAAACACUAUUACAUUUCUCCCCCUGUACUGUUUCCUCUUGUCAUUCUGUGGGAAGCAGAGCUGUGAAAUGGGUCAGAACAACCUACAGCACAUGACACUUGUGAGCCUUAACCUUGUGGCCCAUAGAGUGAUAGUCAAGUGUAGCACACAGACCAACCCUGGAAGCAAUGAAGACCCAACCCAGGCCACAGAGGACUGCAGGACAAGUCCCAGUUAUUUGUUUCUUCUGCCUUUUUUUUUUUUUUUCCUAAGUUGGAAAAAGCAAACUAAUAACAAUCAAAGCUUUUGAAUUCUCUGCCAUGUAUAGUCAUUCUCUCAUAUCCGUGCACUGCAUGUGCUUGUUGAUGCCAAUGCCCUGUAACCGAGAGCCACUGCCGUCUGUCACACACAAGUCCUCAUUAUGUUGCAUAACAAAUUACCUUUGUUGCCUAAGAGAAUGGCACAGUGGAUUUUGUUGUUGCCUCACAUAAACUUUAGUCCUGAGAAUUCCACUCCGCACUGAUGCAUCGCUUCUGUCUGACAAGUGCUUUAUUUCUGUUGUUAAGCAGCAAGCUCCAUGAUACGCAGGCAGCCGCUGAUCCUGAAAAACAAGUUUAGAGAUACAUAAAUACAGCACUAUUAUGUCUGCAGAACAAUCGGCCACGUGGAUUCUGACUGCUGCCGUAAGGCCGGGCUUACAGGCUGCAGCUACAUCCUGGGAGACAGCUCCUCUGCGCACCCGUGGCUGGCGGUCACCUGAUGUUUUGGUUUGCAAGCAAAAAAACACCAUCCUAAAGAAACAAAGAAAGUGGCAGAACAGCAAAGUAAUUUUAAGCCAACAAAGAAUUCACUGUGUUUGCAUUUUCCUGUCAUACUGCCGCUUUUUUAAUGUAUUUAUCCAACUGCAUUAUCUGUCGUUUUAGUGCUUAAUCACUGCUUAACUGAAGAGUAUUGCUAAUUUAUUAUAGAACAAAGUGUUAAAAACCUCAACAAAUCCAUCCAUGUGAUUACAAGAUGUUAAACCUCACCAGAUUCUUCUUUUGAGUCUUCUUUAUUUGUGUUCGGCACAUACUUCAGGGGAAGAAAAACAUUUACUGCCAGGCUUCUAACAGUGUUCCCUUUUAAGAAAACGUUUUGGUUGGCAGCUUCUUCUGCUGGCUUAUGACCAAUGCUCUGCAUCAGUGGAAAAUAGUGGUGAUAUCUACAGGCCAGAUUUUGCCACUUCUUUUAAGGAGUAAUGCUAUCUUACUUUCAUAUGUGCGGGCCAAACAUUCUACUCAGGGCAAUACUGGGAGCCCACUGAUGGCUGCUCCCUUCUUCCUCCGGACAAAAUCCAUAGAUAGAGAAAAAAAUCCCCAGUCAUUACCUAAGCAAACUUCAGUGGAGUCUGAACGGGCCUGUUGGGAUAACCUUAUACGAGGGUGACAAAAUCUGGAUGCCAGCUGGUUUGAAGCUACACAUUGUGACAUACUCUCCUAAUCCUUAAAGAAACAUAGAUUCCAAUCUCCAAUACACAGUUGUCUUUUAUACAUUCUCCGAAUCAUUCGCAACAGUUGUAUCUGCUUUUUCAUCAGCUCUCCUAUCUGUCCUAACGAG